CCUACGGGAGGCAGCAGUGAGGAAUAUUGGUCAAUGGACGAGAGUCUGAACCAGCCAAGUCGCGUGAAGGAUGACUGUCCUAUGGGUUGUAAACUUCUUUUAUCAGGGAAUAAAACGAGGCACGUGUGCCUUUUUGCAUGUACUUGAUGAAAAAGGAUCGGCUAACUCCGUGCCAGCAGCCGCGGUAAUACGGGGGAUGCGAGCGUUAUCCGGAUUUAUUGGGUUUAAAGGGUGCGUAGGCUGGGAGGUAAGUCAGCGGUGAAAUGCCCCCGCUCAACGGGGUGAAGUGCCAUUGAUACUGACUUGCUGGAAUGCGGAUGACGUGUGAGGAAUGUGUGGUGUAGCGGUGAAAUGCAUAGAUAUCACACAGAACACCGAUUGCGAAGGCAGCUAACG
rnacentral:rRNA from 1 species